rnacentral:rRNA from 1 species
CCCUUAGAUGUUCUGGGCCGCACGCGCGCUACACUGACGAUGUCAGAGAGUGUCUCCUUCACCGAGAGGUGUGGGUAAUCUUUUAAACAUCGUCGUGUUGGGGAUAGAUCAUUGCAAUUUUUGAUCUUAAACGAGGAAUUCCUAGUAAGCGCGAGUCAUCAGCUCGCGCUGAUUACGUCCCUGCCCUUUGUACACACCGCCCGUCGCUACUACCGAUUGAAUGGUUUAGUGAGGCCUUCUGACUGGCGCCGCUACUCUGGCAACAGAGCGGCGGAUGCCGGGAAGUUGGUCAAACUUGAUCAUUUAGAGGAAGUAAAAGUCGUAACA